GAUGAACGCUAGCUACAGGUCUUAACACAUGCAAGUCGAGGGGCAGCAUUUUAGUUUGCUUGCAAACUAAAGAUGGCGACCGGCGCACGGGUGAGUAACACGUAUCCAACCUGCCGAUAACUCGGGGAUAGCCUUUCGAAAGAAAGAUUAAUAUCCGAUAGUAUAUUAAAACCGCAUGGUUUUACUAUUAAAGAAUUUCGGUUAUCGAUGGGGAUGCGUUCCAUUAGUUUGUUGGCGGGGUAACGGCCCACCAAGACUACGAUGGAUAGGGGUUCUGAGAGGAAGGUCCCCCACAUUGGAACUGAGACACGGUCCAAACUCCUACGGGAGGCAGCAGUGAGGAAUAUUGGUCAAUGGACGAGAGUCUGAACCAGCCAAGUAGCGUGAAGGAUGACUGCCCUAUGGGUUGUAAACUUCUUUUAUAUGGGAAUAAAGUAUUCCACGUGUGGGAUUUUGUAUGUACCAUAUGAAUAAGGAUCGGCUAACUCCGUGCCAGCAGCCGCGGUAAUACGGAGGAUCCGAGCGUUAUCCGGAUUUAUUGGGUUUAAAGGGAGCGUAGGUGGAUUGUUAAGUCAGUUGUGAAAGUUUGCGGCUCAACCGUAAAAUUGCAGUUGAAACUGGCAGUCUUGAGUACAGUAGAGGUGGGCGGAAUUCGUGGUGUAGCGGUGAAAUGCUUAGAUAUCACGAAGAACUCCGAUUGCGAAGGCAGCUCACUAGACUGCAACUGACACUGAUGCUCGAAAGUGUGGGUAUCAAACAGG
rnacentral:rRNA from 1 species